rnacentral:lncRNA from 1 species
GCGAAUUGCUCAAGAGUAAAAACUGUACUCUUGAGCAGGGAAAAUCAUCAUGGGAUAAUCUAGUUAAGUUCGAGGAGUAUGUAAUGGAACAGAUUAACAACUAUGCAGCGUCCCCUGAGAUUUUCUUGCGGGAAAGCAGCUUCAUGAAAUGGUGGGGACUGUAUGAGGGCUACAUAGAUACUUGCAGUAAUUCCCAUGGGUCGCAAUUGAUCAACUUCAUGAAGAAACGUAGCUAUAUGAAGUAUGGUUAGAGGGGCAAUCCAGUUUGUGUGUUGUGUUUAUUGUUUUGUGAGCGUUCAAUGGAUAAAACUAGAAAGAGUGUGACCUUUUUCCCUUUUUCUUGGUUGCUGCCCAUAUUCUCAGCACUAUUUUCUUCCUUCUUUUCCUCUGUUUUUUUUGAUAGGAAAUGAAUAUUAUGAUGUUGCUGGGAUGCACUUNNNNNNNNNNNNNNNNNNNNNNNNNNNNNNNNNNNNNNNNNNNNNNNNNNNNNNNNNNNNNNNNNNNNNNNNNNNNNNNNNNNNNNNNNNNNNNNNNNNNAGGGGAAGAAAAACAUGUUUGUUUAGAUUCAACUCCACCAAAACUUGCAACAACUUCCCAUUGAAAAUUUCCUUUUAAGCUUCUGACUGACAUAAAACUAGAUAUGUUCCAGCUAGAACGGUACAAGAAAGAAAUCAAAAGAUGAGCACAAGUAGAGAGGAAGCCUCACCAGGAAGGGGCAGCUUUGCAAACCCUCUGGCUCUGUACAGGAACGAAUUAUAGAAAGAUGGUUGAACCACUUGACAUUGCUGCCUACCACAGAGAGGGUGGAAGACACUACAUAACCAAUGGAGGAUCUAAACAUUACACGCUAUUGGAGCAAUGAUGCAAUGAAGAGGAGAAGGGGGCUUUGUCUUCUCAUGCAAAUUGCUCUCAGAGCUCAGAACCUACUCCUGAAGGGAAAGAAUCAUCAUGGAGUGAUCUGGUUAAGUUUGAGGAUUUAUUUAUAUAAUUGAACUGAUUGGAAGCUAUGCAGUGUCGGCCCCCGCCCGAGCAGCUUCAUGAAACGGUGGAAAGAGUUGGAAGAAGUCAUAGAUACUUGCUAUAGGAGCUUCAUGAAGUAUGGAGAGGUGUGGCAUAGAUACUUGCAGUCUCUGAAUUUCCCAAAUCCAAUUUCAGAUUGUGUUUUUAGAUUCGUGGAACUUGUUUUCGGGCUUUUUGUUAGGUACAAUUGAGAUGGGCUGAACCGAAAGGCCCGCCAGGAUGAACAAUAUAAUGGGCCUGAAUUUUAAACCAGUGGAUGGGUUUUGUACUGGAUUCAGCUGUCUGAGCCCAAUGAGUAUUGAAUGUGUUUCUGUAUAAAAUUAAAUUUUUAACAUUGAAAUAUAAGGACUUACUUAAAAACACAUUUGGUAACUUUUUUUUUUUUUGGUUAAUAAUAAAUUUUUUUAAAAAAAAUUAAAAAUAUAUAAUUUUUUUAGAAUAAAUUUGAGGCAUGUUUAGGUAUUUUUUGUGGUAAAGAGUUUUGAGAAGCAAUGAGAAAUAUACAGAAUACUUUAAAAACUUUUGCAUAAGUAAGAUACUUACACGAGGCUUUUAUGAAAAAUAAAUCGAUAAAAACAAUUUUUAUAUUUGAAUUUCAAAACAUAAAACAACUUAGAACUGUUUUUAAAAACUGUUCUUAAAAAUAGUUUUCUAUUAACUCACAUUCAAGGAUGCUUUUAUCUUUUAUUUUUCUAUGUUUCAUCCUUGCAUAAAUGGAGUACAAAGUCGUAAGUUAAUCUAAUUAACAAAUAUAGAUAAUCAUCCGAUAAAUGAGUAAAUUAGGUGAUGAUCUCUUUAUAUAUGCAAGUAAUGGAAUGAAUGUGAUAAAAAAAUAAAAUAAAAAAGUAAGGGGAGAAAUGUUGUAAAUAAAAUGUUUUUAUUGUGGUUCAACGACCUAUCCACUUCCACACCUUGACAUAUUUCACAAUUUUAAAAGUUUUUUUAAUCAUGAUUCUCCUUAUUGUUCUUUAAGUCUGGAUUUCUUAAGUUUCAAUAGACUUUUACAAUCACUAAGAUGACGUUUGUUUUUUCACUUAAUUCUAAAUAUAAGUUAAAACUAAAUAAUAUUUAAUAAUAUCAAGUAUUAGGUUGUUUUUUUUAUAACAUUUUAUUUCUAUAUAAUAUUAAAAAGUAAAGAAAAAUCAGUAUGUUUUUUUUUUAUUUAAAAAAAGUCAAAUAUUUUGACUUUUUUUUAAGCUAAAAAUUUAUAAUAAAAAAUAAAAAAUAAACAAACAAACAAACAACUUGAAGUGUAAAAACAGAUUGUUUUCAAUAAAAAUUUUAAAAAAUAAACACCUUAUAAAUAAAAUUCCUUAACCACUCGUACAAUAGCUUCUUUAAGCACAAAAUGUAUUGAAGCGCUCACAAUGAAAAGAUAAACAAGUUUGGAUUUAAUAUAAUUUUGGGUUAUCUAAUUAAAAAGGUGUAGACCCCCGGAGGCAGACAGUUUUUUUAGUUAUUAUUAUUAUUUGUUUAUUUUUAAUUUUUCCUACCUUUUUCUUCCCAAGCCGCUCGACAUGAUGGGACUAAAGUGGGCUGGUUUUUGGGGCAGAGAGGGGACUCAAGUGGGCGUUUUUUUUUUUUUUUGGGCGGCAGAUGGGAUGGUGUACGGGGGAUGGCUUGUGGAGGAAGACUCAAAACAGGGGAAGGAAGCGAAAGAAAGGCAGGAAAAAAAGUGUUGGAGGACGGGGGGGAUACCUUGCUCAAGGAGAAAACUUUCAGGUAAAAUUUUCUGUGAACUCCAUGUUUCUUCGUUAUGACAUUAUUGUGCUCACUUCUUUUGUUGAUUCCAGGAUGUGAUUUGUUGGUCGGUUUGGAUGUCAUGGAUUAUUGGUUUAUUUUUGCUGAAUUUAUCCGUGUGCGGAGGUGCUCUGUUUGACUCUAUUCUGGUUUCCCUAACUCCUUCCAUAAGCACCUGAAUGUAUGAAUUCAUCCCUGAGCCCGAUUAUAUAAAAAUCAUGCUUUGUUCCCUGUGGUUUCUUCCCUCUGUUUGUUGCUCUAUUCCUUGUUGGUUGUGGGAAUGAGGUCAUCGAUGGCCAGGUUAUCGAAACUGGGGAAGUGACUUCGUGAACGGAUCACCUUCUAUGCACCCAUCUCAUCUUUCUCAUUCACUCAUCACGGCUACACUUCCAUGAUUACACCAUCCUCAGUCAAAUACAUAUCUCCAUACCCAUUUUUCACCUUUCCCGUACCUUCCUCACCUAUCCAUCACACCCAUCGUCAUAUCUAGUUCAUCACUAACCCAUUUUCCUCUCGCCAGCCGUGGUUAUGCUUCGUCCAUCUCAUGCAUACGAUCCCUCACUACUAUUCCUAUAUUCUCAUCCUUCCAAACUCCUCAACACAACACCUAACCCUCAUACCUGCACCCCGCCAUGCCCGCGCCUAGCUCACCCCCAUAGGAACCUCAAAGCCGUUCGCCUACUUGCAUGGGAGCCAUGCAUGCCGCCCCUCCCCGCGUCUUCCUGCACCGGCUAUGUGCGCGCCUGCACCAGCCACCAAUGGCGGCAGCGCCUUCUGGACGUCGCCAGGCCGCUGCCACCUGCUCCGGCAACGCGCGCGCCUGCACCAGCAGCCAUGGCGGCGGCACCUUCUGAACGUCACCAGACCGCCGCCACGGCUCCCCUCUUCCCCGCGCCGCCGCUGCUCCUCUUUUCCCCGCGCCGCCAUGGCUCUCCUCUUCAUCGUGCCGCCGGUGGAGUCUUCGCGGGUGGAGAGGCAAUUGGUGAAGAGAAGCUUUGCCCAUGAUGGUUUUUGGGCUUGGGUUUGAACUGGGAACCCAGGCCCAAGCCUAUGAAGAGAAGCCCAGGUUUAUGAAGGCUUUAAUUGCCUUGGGCUUGCCCAUUAAUAUCAUAUGGAUUGGGCUUGAUGAGGAUGGGGCUUAUUGGUGGAUUUGGGCUUGACUAGGUUUGGGCUUUAUUAGGGUUGCUGAUGGACUGGGUUUGGGCUCUAUUAUUAUUAUUAAUUCAACAUUUAAAAUACUAUUAUUAUCAUUGUUAUUAAUCAAACUUUUAAAAAUCUUAUUAUUACUAUUAUUAUUAUUACGUUUAUCAUUAUUAUUAUUUCUAUUCAACAUUUAAAAUAUUAUUAUCAUUAUUAUUAUUAAUUCAACAUUUAAAAUAUUAUUAUUAUCACUAUCAUUAAUCCAAACUUUCAAAACCCUAUAAUUAUUAUUACUAACCCAAAUUUCAAAAUCUAUUUAUUUAUUAUUAUUUAUUAUUAUCAUUAAUCCAAAUUUCAAAAUCUAUUUAUUAUUGUUAUCCUUAUCAUUAAACCCAACCUCCAAAAUCUCAUCAUUAUCAUUAUUAUUAAUUCAAACUUUCAACACCUAUUUAUUAUUAUUUAUUAUUAUCAUCAGUCCAAACCUCCAAGAUCUCAUCAUUAUUAUUAUAAUUAACUCAACUUUCAAAAUUUAUUUAUUAUUAUUAUCAUCAUUAAUCCAAGCUUUCAAAAAUCUCAUCAUUAUUGUUAUUAUUACCUCAACUUUCAAAAUCUUAUUUUUAUUAUUAUCAUUGAUUAAAACUUUCAAAACCUUAUUAUUAUUAUUAAUUCAAACUUUCUAACUUCCAAUUUCCAAGCCCAAUUUAUAAAAAUUCAACCUUCAAAUGAUACUCCAAAAUUCCGAUCUUUAAAACUCAAUUUCGAUUUCCGAAAAUUCUCAUACUCACUUUAAUCUAUUUAAUUAUUGUUAUUUUGAUUAUUUAUUUCAAAACCCCAUUUCAAAUCAAAUUCUCUAAAACUUCUGAUUCUCGAAUUAAAUUCCUAAUCCCAAAAAUUCUCAUGUUCGCACUAAAUUAUUUGAUCAUUGAUAUUUUAUUUAUUUAUUUAUUUCAAAACUCCAUUUUAAAUCAAAUUCUCUAAAACUUCUGAUUUCCGAAUUAAACUCCUAAUCCCAAAAAUUCUCAUGUUCUCAUUAAUUUAUUUAAUCAUUAGUAUUUUAUCUCCAUUUUAAAUCAACUCUUUAAAACUUCAGAUUUACAAAUUAAAUUCCUAAUCUUGAAAAUUCCCAUAUUCACAUUAAUUUAAUCACUAAUAGUUUGUUUAUUUAUCUUAAAAUUCUAUUUUAAACAAUUCUUUAAACUUUCUAACUUCUAAAUCUAAUUUCCAAUUUCAAAAAUUCCAGCAUUCCAUUCAUUUAUUUAAUCAUUAUUUUCGUCCUUAUUAUUAUUAGUCCAUUUAUUUACUUCAAAAUUUCAUUUUUAAACAUUUUUUUGAAUCCCAAUUUUCGAACUUAAUUUCCAAUUUCUAAAAUUCUAAUUUCCUUCAAGUUUGACAUCCCAAAAUUCCAACUCUUAAAUUUAAUUCUCAAGACUCCAAUCUUCAAAUAAUUUUCGAGACUCCAAUUUCCAAAUAAAUUUCAAAAAUUCAAUUUUCUCUCUAACAGUUUUAAUUCUCUUCGGGUUUCAAAUAAUCUUCGAUUUCUCUUGAUUUUAUAUAAACAUGAAUGCUAUUUUCAUAAUUCCAGAAUAAUGGGAUUUGUGAUAUUAAUUCCUGCAAAAAUGAAUGGGCUUUGGUGGGGGCCCAACAUACGUGCUUUCCUCAUGAUUGAUUGAUUGUUUGAUUGAUUUAAUUGCCAUGCGUGCUUGAUUUUAUUCUGCUCUAUGGCAUGCCCGAAAUUAUCCUUUAAUUGUGCACUAACCUCACUUUUUGAUAAGCGCAUUGUGGCUCGUCACCCAGGUACGUAUCUAUCCCCAUUCUGAUAUUUCCAUAUACAUGUUUUGAUUCUCCUAUGUGCAUGAUAGUUCCGGGUAUUCAUUGUUUUUCCUCAUCAAUUGCCAUGAUUGCUUCAUUUUAUUAGUAGAGACCCAUUUAGGGACUUAGAGGGGUGCUACGGUUCAUACCGUACCUUCCUGAUAAGUAACCUGACCCUCGGACCCGAUCCGGUUUUUCACAGACCACCUUUUCCAAAGUAAGGAGUCACACUUAGGGUUUUUCUUUCUUAUUUUGUUUACCCUUUUAAAAAUAAAACAAAAAUAAGUGGCGACUCCAAGUCAUUUUCUUAAACAAUAAAAAAUCAAAUUUUCAAAUAAAAAUCGAGUCCGCCAUUGAGUGGGAAACGCAUGAGCCGAAAUGCGGGGUCCACAAAAGGUCAUUGAAAACCCAAUUUUAGAAAUAUAACCCUUCAUCAUUUUUUUUAUCUCAUGUUAACAAAAAUGCUCUUAUUAUUUUCUUAUAAAAAUAAUCAUUUCUUUUAAAACACACUAUAAAUACUCCAAAUAGUCAGGGGCUUUUAUGUAUAAAAAAAUGAAUUACUCUUUAAAUAAAAAUAUUGGAGGGAAUAAAUUAACAAAUAUGAGGUAUUUCAUCCCUUUUAUCUAAUUAUUUCUAUAAUUUUAAGAGUUUAAGAAGGCUAGACAAAGACUAAUUAUUAGGCACAUUUUGUAAAAACACUAGUUAUUAGACACAUUUUUCGCUCAAUCAAUCAAUCACGGAGUUGACUAGACACUAAUUAUUGGACUUUUUUUUUUUUUUUUUUAUAAUAAGUGAAAGACAAGAAUACAAUCGACUACUUUGGUCAAUUAAACAAUCAUUCAGUUGACUAUAAACUAAUCUUUAGAUUUUUUUUUUUAUAAUAAUUGGAAGACAUGAAUACAAUCGAUUACUUUGAUUAAUUAAUCAAUUAUUCAAGAAAUUUAGAAAAAUAUUGGAUAAAAGAUAUAUAUAACGGAUUAUUUCAAAUUGAAACUUAAGAUUAUAAAUCUUACUUUUAAUGUUGAAAAAUCAUGUAAAACACAAGUUUUUAUCUUUGAAGUAAUCAAUUUCAUUUUUCACAAAAAAUCAUUAAUAAUGCAUGAAUGAAUUCUUUUAAAAAAUCUUAUAAAAAAUGUGAUUAUUUUUCAUUCCCAAAUACUUAGGUUCUAAAGAUCAAUUUUAAAGCAUACUUAUCCUUACUAUGCCUUACAAGAAAAUCUAUUCUAUACAUAUGAUCUUGUAAAAAAAUGUAAAUAAAAAAAUAAAAUAAAAUAAAAAGAAAAAAAAAAGCCUCUCUUGUUUUCCUCUUUUGACUGGAUAUCAUUACCAUACCUAAAAUUAAAUAUUUAAUUAAAAUAUUAUUUUACUAUCAUCAAAAUUUAGAUUUAACCAAACUUUAGGCUAGUAUGUUGAUACGAUAAGUUAAUUUUCUAUCUUAAAGUUUUAAAAACUUUUGAAAUUAAACAUUUUCUUACACAUUUAUUUUUAAAGUUUUUUAGCAUAAAAUUUAAAAUUGAAGCUUUUAAGGGAAAACCUCAUAAUAUAAUAUACUAGAAAGACAUGGUCAAACAAAUAGAGACGAAGCCUCAAAAGGAAGGGGCAAUGGUUGAACCACUUGACAUUGUUGCCUACUACUAAGAUGGUGUAAGAAACAACAUAACCAAUGGAACAUAUGCACAUUAAACAUUGUACAAUUAUUAUAAAUGUCUUAUACAUUAUGUGUGAAAAUACGAAAUAAAUAAAUAAAAUUAUAUUCAACAUUUAUAUUUGUAUACAAACAAUAUUUUCGAUAGUUUGAUAUAAAAAAACAAAUAAAAAAAUGAAGAAAAGCAUAUAAAUAUAUUUUCAAUGGACAAACUUAUUCAAUUAGUAUAAAUAUCUUGUAUAUUUAAUACAAAUACCUUAUACUUUGUGAAAAUGUAAAAAUAUAGUAUUUGAUAUUUAUAAAUGUGGGUAAGUAAUUUUUCUAAUGGUUUGAUUUAAAAAAAAAAUAAUGAGAAUCAAGAAAUACAUGCAAAUAAAUUAGUGUGAAUGAUAAAGGAUGUUUUUUUACCAUAAAUUUUCAUGGACUUAGCAUCAAUUAUGCAUCUAUAGAUGUUAACCCAAUUAGCAUAAUGUGAAAACCCUUACACACAAUAUAUAAACCCUAUACUUGAAUUAGGAAGGACAAAAAAAAAAUAGUUAGAGCAUUUGGUACCAUCAAUGAUGACUUCACCUAAAGAAAAGUUAAUGAACAUUAUGUUCUCAAUGGAAGAGCAACCCUAGUAGGACAUAUGGAGUAAAUUGAUGCUCUUCUUUCGACAACGAAGUAGCUAAGUCAUGAAAAUGGGGUUUUGCUAACAACAUUAAAUGCAAGAAUUCCCCAAUAUACUGCAAUUCAUAUUCAAUUCAUAGACUUUCAACUAACUACUCUCAAUAACGAGCAAACCCAAGUCAAUACAUAAGAUUGAUUAUUACUUAUGAUAAUUGAAACCAUAAUUAAUAAGACAUAUAUAUAUAUAUAUAUAUAUAUAUAUAUAUAUAUAUAUAUAUAUAUAUAUAUAUAUAUAUAUAUAUAUAUAUAUAUAUAUAUAAAAAAAAUAGAGACAAUUGUGUUUUGGAUCCAGGUGGAUCAAAAAAUAAGGUUUGGUUUAUAGAACUUACAUAAUUGAUGGAAAUGAUAUAAGUUAUCAAAAGACCAAAAUACUCAUUGACCUUUCACGUAAGUUUUUUUGGUCUUUAUUGUACCACUAUUCAUGCAACCAUAAUAAUUUUAUUUUAACUAUUUGGAUUUUUCAUUGUUUUUUAAAACUUUUUUUUUUAUAAAUAAUUGAAAAUCAACAUUAUUUUCUAUUUUAAAUUAUAAAUAAAGAAAAAUUACGUUCAAAAACUAUUUUAAAAAAUACUUUCUAAAAAAAUGGUAAUAUGAUUUAUAUUUUUUACAUUUUCUAUUAGAAAAAAAUAUUUAAUUAAAAAUGAAAAAUAAUUUUUAAAAAUAAAAAUUGAAAACCUUGUUUAGUACUAUUUUUUUAUAUGAAAAUAAUAAAAAUAAUUAAAUUUCAUUAAUUGAUUAUCCAUUAAAUUUUAUAUGAAAAUUUUUUAUAAGAGUAAAAAGAUUCAAUAUCUUUAAAAAAAGAAAAAAAAAACAAAACAAAACAAUAAGUUAGAAAUGAGUAAUACUUAAUUGGGAAUAGAAAAGGGGAAAAAAUUGAAAUUUACACUCAUUAUAUGCCUAUGUAGGGAUUAAAGGUAUUUUAGGGAUUAAUGAAGGAUAAUAUCCUUUAACUUAAUUUUUAUAAUUUAUUUGGGUCUUGACCUUAAAUGUGCAUGAUAUAUGGAUCUUUGGUCAAUUUUUGGGCCCAUUCGGGCCCAAAAUACAAUUCUCCCUACAAAAAUAUUUAUUAAAAUAAAUUAAUUAAUAAAAGCCAUUUAAAGAGUUUCAUAACUUAGUAUCGAAGCUAUUGUAAGAAAAAAGUAUUAUAUAAUGUAGGGUUUAGGUUCAAAGUCUACCUAAGAUUAAAUUUAAGUCUCGAGACAAAUUCACAUUCAAAACUAGGUUUUUAAGUUUGAAAAAUAGAUCCCUUAAACAAAUUAAAUGGUAAAAAAUAAUUACAAAGAAAAUUUCUCUAGCUGGUUUCUUCAUCUUGAAAACUAACGGAAACAUAUAUUAAUAUUUGGUAUGAAAAUUCGUAACCUUAGAAACACAGCUUUGAGUCUUGCUGAGAAAAACAAAGCUUAUUUGCUCGUAGACCAUCGUAGUGGUCGUCAUACCGUGUGAGGACCGGGGAAGCAUCUUUGCUCGUAGACCGGCUUUUGUAGUCUUUCUUUAACAAUUACAAGUUGUCAGGAUUCCCUUCAUCCUCCCAAAUAAUAUUGUUUUUGGUCUUGUUCUGGUUGCAUCUCCGUGGAAGGAAAGAAGAUGAAUCAAGUUCCUUUGUAAGUAUCAAUGUCUCUGAUUCAUUUUUUGGUUCCUAGAAUCGAAUCCUCGCUCUGUUCUUGCUUAAUUUCUCCUUUUUCUGUUGGGUCUUUCACUGCAGGUUUAGCUCUGCACGGGAACUGGCAAAUUUGGUGCUGAGCUCCAAUCUAAUCGACUGUGCUUUCACCAAAAUUCUUGAACUUAAGAGAGGCCAAACAGCCUUGCCUGUUCAAUACAGACUUUAUCAACUGUCUUCCAAGUGCACAAUUGUAGCUUUUGUCUCUUCACCUGACUGCACUCAAUACCCUCUUCCUGGACAAGGAGAUUUAGAUCGGUCUCCUCUCUUUGACUUCCUCCGUACCGAAGAAUACCCGUCCGUCUCCAUUAACAGAGCAGCAUUAGCCCUCUAUACCCCUCUCCAUGAUCAUCUCUCUGGACUAACAGAUGAGGUCAAAAUCUGAUACUUGUUUGAAUUUUCGUUUCCUUUUCGUUAACAAUUGUGAGACACGAAACAGCUUGACCAUGAGAUCUCCCUCAUGGAGUCGAACUACCUGAAGGAUAAGACGUCACACAUAUCCAUUUUCAUGGCAUCGUCACAUGACCCAUUGAUCGGUUGUGAUUCAACUCUUAAUAGGAACACAGUAGAACUGGUGUUGGUAUAUCUGUCUUUAGAUAAGCUUGCAUAUAUCUUGUCACUGAAAAAGGAAUGUUCAGAAGUGAGAUUAGUGGCAUUAUUCUGACAUGGAUUUCAUAUGGUUACUUGUUUUGCAGUUGACUCAGAUUGAAGGUCAGUUAAUCAUCACUGGGCACUCCCUGGGAGGAUCCGUUGCUUCUCUCUUCACCUUACGCCUGCUAGAUGGCAAUUUAUUAAAACCCAAAUGCCGCCCCUUUUGUAUCACCUUUGGUUCACCCCUCAUAGGCGACUUUGGCCUCCAACACUCCAUAUGGAAUUCUUUCUUCCUGCAUGUAGUGUCUAACCAAGACCCAGUCCCCGGACUCUUCCUCCCAUCCGGCAGAUCUCCGCCCACAUCCUCCCAUUCACAAACUACCGGUUACAAGCCCUUUGGGACAUAUCUCUUGUGCUCUGAACUUGGUUGUGCUUGUUUUGACAACCCUGAUUUAAUUUUGGGAUUGCUUAAAGUCAUAUCAUCAGAGGUUGCCGGAGGAUUGCAGGAUGUUGACUAUGGGGAGAUUUUAAGAAACCUCAAGGAGAGGGCAAUCUGCAAGGGACUGCCGCAGGUGGGUGAACGGUUUGCAGAUCCAUUUUCAGCUGGGAUCAUCAUGGAACUUGAGACAAUUGGAUUUAAUCAAACAAAGGUAAACAGCUUUCUCCCAUCUAAUGAUGUUAUGAAACAUGGUUUACACUACACCAAAUACUGCAAUAACUGCCCUAUUCAGAUUUAUCUUCUUGUUCUUUGGGAUCUUCCAUAACUAGUCUCAUUUUUAAAAUUCAUGGCAGUUGCUGCAGCAUAACAUUGAUAUCAACGCUAUGAUAAGAACAAUGGAAGCGGAAACCAGAAGCCUAAUCCAGAAAAAUAAAGCUUCCGAUGCCAAGAAACUGAAUGACAUAAAAAGAGACAUGGCCCAUCUAGAAUGGUAUAAGAAGAAAUCGGAAAUGGGUUACUACGAUUGCUUCAAAAAUCAGGGGUCUAAAAGGGACAUCAACGUUGAACAAUUUAGGGGAAACCUCACAAUGUACUGGGAAGACAUGGUUGCACAAGUACAGAGGAAGCCCCAGAAGGAAGGAGCAACAUUUCGAACCCGUUGGUUCUAUGCAGGGACAGUUUAUAGGAGAAUGGUUGAACCACUGGACAUUGCUGCCUUCUACAGAGAGGGUGGAACAGACUACAUAAACAAUGGAAGAUCUCUUCAUUACAAGCUGUUGCAGCAAUGGUAUGAAGAAGAUGUGAAACCCCCCUCUAGAGAUAAGCUUGAUUCCAAGAAGCAAAAGGUGUCUGGUAUCCUAACUGAGGAUUCUUUGUUUUGGGCACAUGUGGAGGAGGCCAUCUUGUCAUGCGAAUUGCUCAAGAGUCAAAACUGUACUCUUGAGCAGGGAAAAUCAUCAUGGGAUAAUCUGGUUAAGUUCGAGGAGUAUGUAAUGGAACAUAUUAACAACUAUGCAGCGUCCCCUGAGAUUUUCUCGAGGGAAAGCAGCUUCAUGAAAUGGUGGGGACUGUAUGAGGGCUACAUAGAUACUUGCAGUAAUUCCCAUGGGUCGCCAUUGAUCAACUUCAUGAAGAAACGUAGCUAUAUGAAGUAUGGUUAGAGGGGCAAUCCAGUUUGUGUGUUGUGUUUGUUGUUUUGUGAGCGUUCAAUGGAUAAAACUAGAAAGAGUGACCUUUUUCCCUUUUUCUUGGUUGCUGCCCAUAUUCUCAGCACUAUUUUCUUCCUUCUUUUCCUCUGUUUUUUUGUUAAGAAAUGAAUAUUAUGAUGUUGCUGGGAUGCACUUUCAUUGUUGUUCUAUUACAUUGUGUUUUAUUUAUAUCCUAAACAAAUAAAUCAAAACAAGAAAAUCAAAUAAGACUUAAAGAGUCUUUUCCUUCAAAAAAAAAAAUGGGGAAAAAGAAAAACAUUUUUGUUUAGAUUCAACUCCACCAAAACUUGCAACAACUUCCCAUUGAAAAAUUCCUUUUAAGCUUCUGAAUGAUAUAAAACCAGAUAUGUUCCAGCUAGAAUGGUACAAGAAAGAAAUCAAAAGAUGAGUACAGUGGGUUAUUAUGACAGCUUUAGAAACCUGGGGUGUAAAAGAGACAUUAAAAUGGAACCGAUGGGAAGACAUGGUAGAACACGUAGAGAGGAAGCCUCACCAGGAAGGGGCAGCUUUGCAAACCCUCUGGCUCUGUACAGGAACGAAUUAUAGAAAGAUGGUUGAACCACUUGACAUUGUUCCCUACCACAGAGAGGGUGGAAGACACUACAUAACAUUACACGCUAUUGGAGCAAUGAUGCAAUGAAGAGGAGAAGGGGGCUUUGUCUUCUCAUGCAAAUUGCUCUCAGAGCUCAGAACCUACUCCUGAAGGGAAAGAAUCAUCAUUGAGUGAUCUGGUUAAGUUUGAGGAUUUAUUUAUAUAAUUGAACUGAUUGGAAGCUAUGCAGUGUCGGCCCCCGCCCGAGCAGCUUCAUGAAACGGUGGAAAGAGUUGGAAGAAGUCAUAGAUACUUGCUAUAGGAGCUUCAUGAAGUAUGGAGAGGUGUGGCAUAGAUACUUGCAGUCUCUGAAUUUCCCAAAUCCAAUUUCAGAUUGUGUAUUUAGAUUCGUGGAACUUGUUUUCUUGCUUUUUGUUAGGUACAAUUGAGAUGGGCUGAACCGAAAGGCCCGCCAGGAUGAACAAUAUAAUGGGCCUGAAUUUUAAACCAGCGGAUGGGCUUUGUACUGGAUUCAGCUGUCUGAGCCCAAUGAGUAUUGAAUGUAUUUCUGUAUAAAAUUAAAUUUUUAACAUUGAAAUAUAAGGACUUACUUAAAAACACAUUUGGUAACUUUUUUUUUUUUAUGGUUAAUAAUAGAUUUAAAAAAAAAUUAAAAAUAUAUAAUUUUUUAGGAUAAAUUUGAGGCAUGUUUAGGUAUUUUUCGUGGUAAAGAGUUUUGAGAAGCAAUGGGAAAUAUACAGAAUACUUUAAAAACUUUUGCAUAAGUAAGAUACUUACACGAGGCUUUCAUGAAAAAUAAAUUGAUAAAAACAAUUCUCAUAUUUAAAUUUCGAAACAUAAAACAACUCAGAACUGUUUUUAAAAAUUGUUCUUAAAAAUAGUUUUCUAUUAAGUCACAUUCAAGGAUGCUUUUAUCUUUUAUUUUUCUAUGUUUCAUCCUUGCAUAAAUGGAGUACAAAGACAUAAGUUAAUCUAAUUAACAAAUAUAGAUAAUCAUCCGAUAAAAGAGUAAAUUAGGUGAUGAUCUCUUUAUAUAUGCAAGUAAUGGAAUGAAUGUGAUGAAAAAUAAAAUAAAAAAGUAAGGGGAGAAAUGUUGUAAAUAAAGUGUUUUUAUUGUAGUUCAACGACCUAUCCACUUCCGCACCUUGACAUAUUUCACAAUUUUAAAAGUUUUCUUAAUCAUGAUUCUCUUUAUUAUUCUUUAAGUCCGGAUUUCUUAUGUUUCAAUAGACUUUUACAAUCACUAAGAUAGUGUUUGUUUUUUCACUUAAUUCUAAAUAUAACUUAAAACUAAAUAAUAUUUAAUAAUAUCAGGAUUAGGUUGUUUUUUUUAUAACAUUUUAUUUCUAUAUAAUAUUAAAAAGUAAAGAAAAAUCAAUAUAUUAUUUUUUUCAUUUAAAAAAAGUCAAAUAUUUUGACUUUUUUUUAAGCUAAAAAUUUAUAAUAAAAAAUAAAAAACAAACAAACAAACAAACAACUUAAAGUGUAAAAAUAGAUUGUUUUCAAUAAAAAUUUAAAAAAAAACAAACACCUUCUAAAUAAAAUUCCUUAACCACUCGUUCAAUAGCUCCUUUAAGCACAAAAUGUAUUGAAGUGCUCACAAUGAAAAGAUAAACAAGUUUUGAUUCAAUAUAAUUUUGGGUUAUCUAAUUAAAAGGGUCAUUGAAAACCCAAUUUUAGAAAUAUAACCCUUCAUCAUUUUUUUAUCUCGUGUUAACAAAAAUGCUCUUAUUAUUUUCUUAUAAAAAUAAUCAUUUCUUUUAAAACACACUAUAAAUACUCCAAAUAGCCAAGGGCUUUUAUGUAAAAAAAAAUGAAUUACUCUUCAAAUAAAAAUAUUGGAGGGAAUAAAUUCACAAAUAUGAGGUAUUUCAUCCCUUUUAAAUAAUUAUUUCUAUAAUUUUAAGAGUUUAAGAAGGCUAGACAAAGACUAAUUAUUAGGCACAUUUUGUAAAAACACUAGUUAUUAGACACAUUUUUUGCUCAAUCAAGCAAUCACACAGUUGACUAAACACUAAUUAUUGGACUUUUUUUUUUUAUAAUAAGUGGAAGACAAGAAUACAAUCGACUACUUUGGUCAAUUAAGCAAUCAUUCAGUUGACUAUAAACUAGUCUUUAGACAUUUUUUUUUAUAAUAAUUGGAAGACAUGAAUACAAUCGAUUACUUUGGUCAAUUAAUCAAUUAUUCAAGAAAUUUAGAAAAAUAUUGGAUAAAAGAUAUAUAUAACGGAUUAUUUCAAAUUGAAACUUAAGAUCAUAAAUCUUACUUUUAAUGUUGAAAAAUCAUGUAAAACACAAGUUUUUAUCUUUGAAGUAAUCAAUUUCAUUUUUCACAAAAAAUCAUUAAUAAUACAUGAAUGAAUUCUUUUAAAAAAAUCUUAUAAAAAAUGUGAUUAUUUUUCAUUCCCAAAUAUUUAGGUUCUAAAGGUCAAUUUUAAAGCAUACUUAUCCUUACUAUGCCUUACAAGAAAAUCUAUUCUAUACAUAUGAUCUUGUAAAAAACUGUAAAUAAAAAAGAAAAAAAGAAAAAAAACCUCUCUUGUUUUCCUCUUUUGAUUGGAUAUCAUUAUCAUACUUAAAAUUAAAUAUUUAAUCAAAAUAUUAUUUUACUAUCAUCAAAAUUUAGAUUUAACCAAACUUUAGGCUAGUAUGUUGAUACGACAAGUUAAUUUUCUAUCUUAAAGUUUUAAAAACUUUUGAAAUUAAACAUUUUCUUACACAUUUAUUUUUAAAGUUUUUAGCAUAAAAUUUAAAAUUGAAGCUUUUAAAGGAAAACCUCAUAAUAUAAUAUACUAGAAAGACAUGGUCAAACAAAUAGAGACGAAGCCUCAAAAGGAAGGGGCAAUGGUUGAACCACUUGACAUUGUUGCCUACUACUAAGAUGGUGUAAGAAACAACAUAACCAAUGGAACAUAUGCACAUUAAACAUUGUACAAUUAUUAUAAAUGUCUUAUACAUUAUGUGUGAAAAUACCAAAAAAAAAGAAAAAUUAUAUUCAACAUUUACAUUUGUAUACAAACAAUGUUUUCGACAAUUUGAUAUAAAAAACAAAUAAAAAAAAUAAAGAAAAACAUACAAAUAUAUUUACAAUGGACAAACUUAUUCAAUUAGUAUAAAUAUCUUGUAUAUUUAAUACAAAUACCUUAUACUUUGUGAAAAUGUAAAAAUAUAGUAUUUAAUAUUUAUACAUGUGGGUAAGUAAUUUUUCUAAUGGUUUGAUUUAAAAAACAAAUAAUGAGAAUCAAGAAAAACAUGCAAAUAAAUUAGUGUGAAUGAUAAAGGGUGUUUUUUACCAUAAAUUUUCAUGGACUUAGCAUCAAUUAUGCAUCUAUAGAUGUUAACCCAAUUAGCAUAAUGUGAAAACCCUUGCACACAAUAUAUAAACCCUAUACUUGAAUUAGGAAGGACAAAAAAAAAAUAGUUAGAGCAAUUGGUACCAUCAAUGAUGACUUCACCUAAAGAAAGGUUAAUGAACAUUAUGUUCUCAACGGAGAGCAACUCUGGUAGAACAUAUGGAGUAAAUCAAUGCCCUUCUUUUAACGAUGAAGUAGCUAAGUCAUGAAAACAAGGUUUUGCUAACAACAUUAAAGGCAAGAAUUCCCCCAAUAUACUCCAAUUCAUAUUCAAUUCACAGACCUUCAACUAACUACUCUCAGUAACGAGCAAACCCAAGUCAAUACAUAAGAUUGAUUAUUACUUAUGAUAAUUGAAACCCUAAUUAAAUAAAUAAGGACACAAAUAUAUAUAUAUAUAUAUAGGGACAGUUGUGUUUUGGACCUAGGUGAACCCAAAAAUUAAGGUUUGGUUUAUAUAACUUACAUAAUUGAUGAAAAUGAUAUAAGAUAUCAAAAUAUCAAAAUACUCAUUGACCUUUCACAUAAGCUUUUUUGGUAUUUAUUGCACUACUAUUCAUUCAACCAUAAUAAUUCUAUUUUAACUAUUUGGAUUUUUCAUUGUUUUUUAAAACUUUUUAUUUAUAAAUAAUUGAAAAUCAACAUUAUUUUCUAUUUUAAAUUAUAAAUAAAGAAAAAUUACGUUCGAAAACUAUUUUAAAAAAUACUUUCUAAAAAAAAUGGUAAUAUGAUUUAUAUUUUUUAUAUUUUCUUUUAGAAAAAAAUAUUUAAUUAAAAAAUGAAAAAUAUUUUUAAAAAUAAAAAUUGGAAACCUUGUUUAGUACUAUUUUUUUUAUAUAAAAAUAAUAAAAAUAAUUAAAUUUCAUUUAUUGAUUAUCCAUUAAAUUUUAUAUGAAAAUUUUGUAUAAGAGUAAAAAGAUUCAAUAUCUUUAAAAAAAGAAAAAAAAAACAAAACAAAAAGUUAGAAAUGAGUAAUACUUAAUUGGGAAUAGAAAAUGGGAAAAAUUUUGAAAUUUACACUCACUAUAUGUCUACGUAGGGAUUAAGGGUAUUUUAGGGAUUAAUGAAGGAUAAUAUCUUUUAACUUAAUUUUUACAUUUUAUUUGGGUCUUGGGAUUAAAUGUACAUUAUAUAUGGAUCUUUGGUUAAUUUUUGGACCCAUCCGGACCCAAAACACAAUUCUCCAUAAAAAAAUAUUUAUUAAAAUAAAUAAAUUAAUAAAAACCAUUUAGAGAGUUUCAUAACUUAGGUGGUGUUUGUUUUUUUGGCUUUUUGGUGAAAACCAUUUAGUUUUAGAAUUUAGGUUGUUUGUUUUUUUACUUUUUCAUGACUUAUUAUAAACUUUUUACAAAAUAGAAAAAGCCAAAAUAUAUGACUUUUUCUAAAUAGAAAAAUAACACAAUGGUUUUUUUUACUUUUUAAUACUUAAUAGAAAUAAAAUAUUAUAAAAACAAACAACCUAAUAUUUAAUACUAUUAAGUAUUAAAGUUCUAUUUAGAAUUAAGUAAAAAAACAAACACCACCUAAGUGUCGAAGCUAUUGUAAGAAAAAAGUAUUAUAUAAUGUAGGGUUUAGGUUCAAAGUCUACCUAAGAUUAAAUUUAAGUCUUAAGACAAAUUCACAUUCAAAACUAGGUUUUUAAGUUAGAAAAAUAGACCCCUUAAACCAAUUAAAUGGUAAAAAAAAAUUACAAAGAAAAUUUCUCUAGCUGGUUUCUUCAUCUUGAAAACUAACGGAAACAUAUAUCAAUAUUUGGUAUGAAAAUUCGUAACCUUAGAAACACAGCUUUGAGUCUUGCUGAGAAAAACAAAGCUUAUUUGCUCGUAGACCAUCGUAGUGGUCGUCAUACCGUGUGAGGACCGGGGAAGCAUCUUUGCUCGUAGACCGGCUUUUGUAGUCUUUCUUUAACAAUUGCAAGUUGUCAGGAUUCCCUUCAUCCUCCUAUAUAAUAUUGUUUUUGGUCUUGUUCUGGUUGUAUCUCCGUGGAAGGAAGGAAGAUGAAUCAAGUUCCUUUGUAUGUAUCAAUGUCUCUGAUUCAUUUUUUGGUUCCUAGAAUCGAAUCCUCGCUCUGUUCUUGCUUAAUUUCUCCUUUUUCUGUUGGGUCUUUCACUGCAGGUUUAGCUCUGCACGGGAACUGGCAAAUUUGGUGCUGGCCUCCAAUCUAAUCGACUGUGCUUUCACCAAAAUUCUUGAACUUAAGAGAGGCCAAACAGCCUUGCCUGUUCAAUACAGACUUUAUCAACUGUCUUCCAAGUGCACAAUUGUAGCUUUUGUCUCUUCACCUGACUGCACUCAAUACCCUCUUCCUGGACAAGGAGAUUUAGAUCGGUCUCCUCUCUUUGACUUCCUCCGUACCGAAGAAUACCCGUCCGUCUCCAUUAACAGAGCAGCAUUAGACCUCUUUACCCCUCUCCAUGAUCAUCUCUCUGGACUAACAGAUGAGGUCAAAAUCUGAUACUUGUUUGAAUUUUCGUUUCCUUUUCGUUAACAAUUGUGAGACACGAAACAGCUUGACCAUGAGAUCUCCCUCAUGGAGUCGAACUACCUGAAGGAUAAGACGUCACACAUAUCCAUUUUCAUGGCAUCGUCACAUGACCCAUUGAUCGGUUGUGAUUCAACUCUUAAUAGGAAUACAGUAGAACCGGUGUUGGUAUCUGUCUUUAGAUCAGCUUGCAUAUAUCUUGUCACUGAAAAAGGAAUGUUCAGAAGUGAGAUUAGUGGCAUUAUUCUGACAUGGAUUUCAUAUGGUUACUUGUUUUGCAGUUGACUCGGAUUGAAGGUCAAUUAAUCAUCACUGGGCACUCCCUGGGAGGAUCCGUUGCUUCUCUCUUCACCUUACGCCUGCUAGACGGCAAUUUAUUAAAGCCCAAAUGCCAUCCCUUUUGUAUCACCUUUGGUUCACCCCUCAUAGGCGACUUUGGCCUCCAAGACUCCAAAUGGAAUUCUUUCUUCCUGCAUGUAGUGUCUAACCAAGACCCAGUCCCCGGACUCUUCCUCCCAUCCGGCAGAUCUCCGCCCACAUCCUCCCAUUCACAAACUACCGGUUACAAGCCCUUUGGGACAUAUCUCUUGUGCUCUGAACUUGGUUGUGCUUGUUUUGACAACCCUGAUUUAAUUUUGAGAUUGCUGAAAGUCAUAUCAUCAGAGGUUGCCGGAGGAUUGCAGGAUGUUGAUUAUGGGGAGAUUUUAAGAAACCUCAAGGAGAGGGCAAUCUGCAAGGGACUGCCGCAGGUGGGUGAACGGUUUGCAGAUCCAUUUUCAGCUGGGAUCAUCAUGGAACUUGAGACAAUUGGAUUUAAUCAAACAAAGGUAAACAGCUUUCUCCCAUCUAAUGAUGUUAUGAAACAUGGUUUACACUUCACCAUAUACUGCAAUAACUGCCCUAUUCAGAUUUAUCUUCUUGUUCUUUGGGAUCUUCCAUAACUCGUCUCAUUUUUAAAAUUCAUGCCAGCUGCUGCAGCAUAACAUUGAUAUCGACGCUAUGAUAAGAACAAUGGAAGAGGAAACCAGAAGCCUAAUCCAGAAAAAUAAAGCUUCCGAUGCCAAGAAACUGAAUGACAUAAAAAGAGACAUGGCCCAUCUAGAAUGGUAUAAGAAGAAAUCGGAAAUGGGUUACUACGAUUGCUUCAAAAACCAGGGGUCUAAAAGGGACAUCCACGUUGAACAGUUUAGGGUAAACCUCACAAAAUACUGGAAAGACAUGGUUGCACAAGUACAGAGGAAGCCCCAGAAGGAAGGAGCAACAUUUCGAACCCGUUGGCUCUAUGCAGGGACAGUUUAUAGGAGAAUGGUUGAACCACUGGACAUUGCUGCCUUCUACGGAGAGGGUAAAACAGACUACAUAAACAAGAAAAGAUCUCUUCAUUACCAGCUGUUGCAGCAAUGGUAUGAGGAAGAUGUGAAACCCCCCUCUAGAGAUAAGCUUGAUUCCAAGAAGCAAAAGGUGUCUGGUAUCCUAACUGAGGAUUCUUUGUUUUGGGCAUAUGUGGAGGAGGCCAUCUUGUCAUGCGAAUUGCUCAAGAGUCAAAACUGUACUCUUGAGCAGGGAAAAUCAUCAUGGGAUAAUCUGGUUAAGUUCGAGGAGUAUGUAAUGGAACAGAUUAACAACUAUGCAGCGUCCCCUGAGAUUUUCUCGAGGGAAAGCAGCUUCAUGAAAUGGUGGGGACUGUAUGAGGGCUACAUAGAUACUUGCAGUAAUUCCCAUGGGUCGCCAUUGAUCAACUUCAUGAAGGAUCGUAGGUAUAUACAGUAUGGACGUUAGAGGGGCAAUCCAGUUUGUGUGUUGUGUUUGUUGUUUUGUGAGCGUUCAAUGGAUAAAACUAGAAAGAGUGUGAC